UGGUAUGUACUAGCUUGCUGAUUCCUCCUUCUUGUAGAACCGUAAUGCCAUUAAUUUGGUGUUGCGGGGAAACAGGACUGUUACUUUGAAAAAAUUAGAGUGUUUAAAGCAGGCUAGCGCCUGAAUACAUUAGCAUGGAAUAAUGAAAUAGGACGUUCGAACCUAUUUUGUUGGUUUCUAGGAUUGACGUAAUGAUUAAUAGGGAUAGAUGGGGGCAUUAGUAUUCAAUUGUCAGAGGUGAAAUUCUUGGAUUUAUUGAAGACUGACUACUGCGAAAGCAUUUGCCAAGGAUGUUUUCAUUAAUCAAGAACGAAAGUUAGGGGAUCGAAGACGAUCAGAUACCGUCGUAGUCUUAACCAUAAACUAUGCCGACUAGGGAUCGGAUGAUGUUAAUUUUUUAAUGACUCAUUCGGCGCCUUACG
rnacentral:rRNA from 1 species